GACGAACGCUGGCGGCGUGCUUAACACAUGCAAGUCGAACGGAAAGGCCCUGCUUUUGUGGGGUGCUCGAGUGGCGAACGGGUGAGUAACACGUGAGUAACCUGCCCUUGACUUUGGGAUAACUUCAGGAAACUGGGGCUAAUACCGGAUAGGAGCUCCUGCUGCAUGGUGGGGGUUGGAAAGUUUCGGCGGUUGUGGAUGGACUCGCGGCUUAUCAGCUUGUUGGUGAGGUAGUGGCUUACCAAGGCUUUGACGGGUAGCCGGCCUGGGAGGGUGACCGGCCACAUUGGGACUGAGGUACGGCCCAGACUCCUACGUGAGGCAGCAGUGGAGAGUAUUGCACAAUGGGCGGAAGCCUGAUGCAGCAACGCCGCGUGCGGGAUGACGGCCUUCGGGUUGUAAACCGCUUUCGCCUGUGACGAAGCGUGAGUGACGGUAAUGGGUAAAGAAGCACCGGCUAACUACGUG
rnacentral:rRNA from 1 species